AAAGCUUUCGGGUGAGUACUAGUGGCGAACGGGAGAGGAACACGUGGGUAAUCUACCUCUAGGAGAAGAAUAACCAGUCGAAAGAUUGGCUAAUACUUCGUAAGACCACAGUAACUAAUGUUACAGGGGUUAAAGGAGCAAUCCGCCUAUAGAUGAGCCUGCGUCCGAUUAGCUAGUUGGUGAGGUAAUGGCUUACCAAGGCUUUGAUCGGUAGCUGGUCUGAGAGGAUGACCAGCCUCACUGGAACUGAUACACGGUCCAGACUCCUACGGGAGGCAGCAGUCGGGAAUAUUGCACAAUGGAGGAAACUCUGAUGCAGCGACGCCGCGUGGGUGAUGACGGAUUUCGGUCUGUAAAGCCCUUUUGUCAGGGAAUAAAAAAAUGAAUGUACCUGAAGAAUAAGCACCGGCUAACUUCGUGCCAGCAGCCGCGGUAAUACGAAGGGUGCAAGCGUUGCUCGGAAUUAUUGGGCGUAAAGCGAGCGCGGAUGGUUUCUUAAGUCAGGAGUGAAAGCCCUGGGCUCAACCCAGGAAGUGCUUUUGAUACUGGGAAACUUGAAUGUGGGAGAGGAAGCUAGAAUACCUAGUGUAGUGGUGAAAUACGUAGAUAUUAGGUGGAACACCGGUGGGGAAGCCGGGUUUCUGGCCCAACAUUGACAUUUAGGCUCGAAAGCGUGGGGAUCAAACAGGAUUAGAUACCCUGGUAGUCCACGCCUUAAACUAUGGAUACUUGUUGUUGGAGGUAUUGACCCCUUCAGUGACGAAGCUAACGCGUUAAGUAUCCCGCCUGGGAAGUAC
rnacentral:rRNA from 1 species